CAUAAACCAUGCGACCAAUUACACACAUCUUUUUCUUUCGCCGCUGCCAUAUCUUUCCGGUGUUAUCCCAAAAAUAUUUUUCAGGGAACUCAACAAAGGUUAAUUCCCUAGCAGCUGGAUCUUCUCGAUUUACUCGAAACCACUGAACAAACAUAGUUGCAUUAGGGUCUAUUCUGUCCACAACUAUCGUCAAAGGCUCGUCUUCUCGAAAGUAAACUUGUUGUUCAUUCUCUAAAUGAAACACUAAUUUUAUAACAACUGGUU
rnacentral:lncRNA from 1 species